AAAAACAACUUGGGGAGGAAAGAACUUAUUUGAUUUAUAGGUUACAGUCCAUCAUUGAGAGAUGCUAAGGCAGAUACCUGGAGGCAAGGAAUGAGGUAGAAACCAUGGCGGAACACUUCUUACUGGCCUCCUUCUCAUGGCUCACUCACACUGCUCUCUUAUACAGCCCAGGAAUACAAGUCCAGGGGUGUCACUGCACAGUCAGCUGAGCCCGCCCACAUCAAUCAGUAAUCAAGAAAGAGCCUACAAUACAAUCUGAUGGGGCUGUUUCCCUCUUUCCAGCUGACUCUGGUUUUGUGUUGACAAAACUAACCAGCACAAUGGCUAUGGUGGUAAUGGAAGAUAGACCCUGCUCUUAGGAAACAAAACUAGAAAAAGAAUGCAUGCAAUGUGGCACAUGCGCUGAACUCUCAGAUGUUUGAGGUGAGAGAAGGGAGGGGAAGAAUGACGAAAGAGACAUGGCUACCUGCUAGAAAUCUCUAAAUCUCAGUAAAGGCUCUACAGGAGUUCUGUUCUAUUCUUUCAAAUAAGCUGUGAAUCUGCAAUUAUCUUCUAAGUAAAACAAUGGUCCUCAAGAGCAAGCAGCCUCUGUGAGUAGAACUGAAAUUUACUUCAAGAUUCUGUUGUCUAUCUAGGUAGCCUGAUUGCUUCCUUUUUACAGAUGGGGAUACUGAAAGCCAGAGAAGAUAUGAGGUUUGCAGUGGAUUCCAGCCUGUGUUGUCUGGGGCCUGAUUUCAGUGACCCUAACCUUGCUCACAGAGACCGGAAGUGGACACCAGAUCCCUCAGAAUGGGAGUUACAGAUGGUUAUGAGCCACCAAGUGCAUUCAUGGAACUGAACCUGGUUCAACGAAGCAGGAGUUUCUGAACAUCUGAGCCAUCUCUCCAGCCCUAGAUAUUCAUGCUUCUCAUGGAACUCUAUGACAACAAUCCCCAUUUCUUCAUCUUUCCUGCCCCUUAGGCACUCUGAUCACUGUGCUACAUUACAAGAGCAACAGUUUAUAAAACAGGGACCACUCCUUUAUAUUUUGCAUAUAUUGUUUUGUGUUAGUGACUGCAGGUCGAUUGAGCAAGUUUUGGUUUUGUGUUUGGUUGGUUGUUUCAUUUUUCUAGGUAGGGUUUCUUUGUGUAGUUCCGGCUGUUUUGGUAUUUGCAGUGUAGAUUUGUUUUGGUAUUUCCAGGCUGGCCUCAAACUCAGAGAUCCACCUGCCUCUGUCUCCCGAGUGCUGGAAUUAAAGGUGUGCACCAUCAUCAUCUUAGUGUCUUGUUUUGUUUUUUUGAACAAGCAUUCCAACAGAUAUGAUUCAGGAUUGACUAAUACACUUAGCUUUUUUAAAAAAUCAAGCAGUUCAUAGAACAGGAUUUGCUUUAAGAAUAAGCCACAGAGUUAGUUGGAAAACAUUAGUUGGAAAACAGCAAUGUGCUGAUACCUGCUGGGCCAGCAUGUGUUCUCAUGUUGUCCCAGCAACCAUGCCUACAGAAACCUCUUUGCCUCUAAGAGAAAGGAUGAAGUCAGGGCAUACCAUUUCUGGCCUUCUGGUGGACUGGGCCAGUGUGGUGUAGUGAAGGACAUGAUGUGAUGGGGUACUGUACAUAGAGGCUAUGUUACAGAUGCUUUGCUGGGCAUAGCAGCUUGGCUGGGGCAGGCAUCUCUCUUAGAGAAUAUGGCUAUCUGGAAAGGGCAAGAGCAGCUGGGCACAUGGUCUUGUUGGUGGGGGAAUAGGACUGUUUGUACAGCAUACCAGAAGUGUAGCCUGUUUAGAAGGUAGGCUUUGUCCCAAAGCAUAUCAGAACAGAUAAAAGCUGCUGCAGUGGCAUGGCCUGGGUGGCCAUUAAACACUGUCCUGAGCUAGCUCACCAGACAGCUUAGAUGAAAACUGAUCUGUCCCUCUGCCACCUUCCAGUGCCCCCCCCCCCCGCCUCUUGUCACCAAGACACACUAAUUCCUUUCAGGAUUAUUCAUUUUCAGCUUAAA
rnacentral:lncRNA from 1 species